CAGCAUUCCUCGCUGUCCGACUCAAACCAGAGAGCGUGGAGCUGUGCAGAUGAGAGGGAAGGCCACUCAAACAUGCAGGGAAUGGAGGGAAGAAGCCAUACCAGGAGUCGGCGUUAGGGAACUUUCAGUGAUUUCUUUAGAUUUCGAUGCACACAUUAACAAAUGCACAAACUCAGACCAGCUGACUGUCAAUUAUUGGGCUUCUCAUGUGCUGAACUGUGAAACGCUCAGAUUCCACCGACAAAAUCGUCUCACACGCCACAUUUAAUGCAACGCGUACGUUUGGGCACGCUUCCCAAGUCACGCGUUCCCACCCGGUUCUAAUUUGAACGACGCUCUCUAGAGUGAUGCUGCGACCGAGGGACGCUGAACGCAGCGGGAGACGUCCGUACCUCCGCCGCUAGAGGGCGCUGUUGGCUCUGAUUCCCGCCUGCACCGCUGCAGGAAGCCCGGAGGCUGGAGACGCCGAUCAGAGGACGCUUCUCCGGCGCGCGGAGACACGUGGAGCCGCCUGCGGGUCGCGGUUUGUGCGCACGACUGCAAAGAAUACAAGACUGGUGAUGCAUCCGCACCCGUCAGAAGUCAGGAGGCCUGUGUUUGCUCCAGGGAUUACAUUACCACACCACAGAGCUGCCAGACAGACCCGCUGCACCACCACCCAAGGGAUCCAUGCUGCAGCUCACGCGAAAUUUAUUGCCGGUGAACCCCUUCGGCUCAGCCCUGCCUCCAUGCGCGCCUGUUGGUGUUCUCUUCCUCACUCGCUUCCUGGUUCUGAGGUCCGCGUGCGUCCGACAGCAGGGUUCAGCUGCUCGGACCGACUCAUCACCGUUGACGUCGGUAGAGUACUCGCUAAAGUAGUCACUCGUUGCUGCAGGAGGAAAGGGAUGGAGCAAGGUGAGGACUGAAGAGGCCGGAGAGCGAGUUUCCUCUGAGUCUGUUUCUCCCGUUGUCAGAGGAAGAAAUAAAUUUAGCUUAUUGCAUUAGCGGGGCACUUUAUUUUCACUCCAUAUCCAGAGAUUACACCACACACGGCAUCAAAACCUUCCUCCCAGAUGUGCAGUAAUUGCAAUUUAAUCUCCUAGAUUCAACUUUCGAUUGAAGCUGAUCUGAAAACUGCAGAAUUUUCAAACCGACAUUUAUGGUACAGUAUAUGCUCCUUAUGCUAAAGUGACGACAUCUUGGCUUGUAAAUCUAUCAGAAGAUAAUCCUUUGGAAACAAUAGCAGAUGUUCCUGUUCUGUUGCAGCUGCAGCUAUUUAGCAUUUCCCAUGGCGAUAAUCAGGAUUAACUUUCAUCUUAUGUCAGUCACUUGGACCCGUGGCGAUUACAUAUGUAGAUUUCCAUAUGCGUCACUGGAUGUGAGGAGCAGUUCUCUUGGAGCCUCUGUGCUCCUCAGAUCUUAGGUGUGUGUAAGCGUUCAUUUCCACUCUGCUCUUUUUAUCGAAACACGCUAGAAAACAAUAUUUUGACUCUCCGCGUCCUUUAUGACACUGCAGUUAAUUGACGACAUCUCUCCCUGCGUCACUCGUGACAGCGCACACUGUGUGUGUGUGUGUGUGUGUGUGUGUGUGUGUGUGUGUG